GGCUAUAGCCAAACGGUAAGGCAGCGGACUCUGACUCCGUCAUUCUGAAGGUUCGAAUCCUUCUAGCC
rnacentral:tRNA from 1 species